ensembl:ncRNA F48G7.14 ncRNA
UCUCUCCCAGUGAGCUUGUCUAUCUGCUCCAGAAAGUGUGGAGAGGAAGAGUCGAACUAGAUCUUCAGCUGGAUUUCCCAUGUGAAUGAGCUGAAAA